ACUUAGUGGCGGACGGGUGGAGUAAUAGCAUGAGCAACCUGCCCUCGGAGAGGGGGACGAACAAGCUGGAAACGGCUGCUAAUACCGCAUGAUGUCAUUGGGAGGCAUCUUCUGAUGACCAAAGAUUUAUCGCUCUGAGAUGGGCUCAUGUCUGAUUAGAUAGUUGGCGGGGCAACGGCCCACCAAGUCUGCGAUCAGUAGCCGGACUGAGAGGUUGAACGGCCACAUUGGGACUGAGAUACGGCCCAGACUCCUACGGGAGGCAGCAGUGGGGAAUAUUGGGCAAUGGGCGCAAGCCCUGACCCAGCAACGCCGCGUGAAGGAAGAAGGCUUUCGGGUUGUAAACUUCUUUUAUCAGGGACGAAGAAAGUGACGGUACCUGAUGAAUAAGCCACGGCUAACUACGUGCCAGCCGCCGC
rnacentral:rRNA from 1 species